UAAUAAACAACCUUGAGAAAAACAAUGCGAAUACCAAGUAAGUGUAGAUCUUGUGAGGAUGUGGGUUCGGAGGACCAAGCGCGGUCGUGAAGGGGCGCUUUUAUGAACAGUGAGAGAGUGCGGUCCAAGGCCUGGGUACAACUGUGCAAGGGAUCUUAAAGUUUCCCACGUGAGGCAACCACUAGUUAAAUGCAACUAAGUAAGGAAAAGGUUCCUCGGCAAACUGCCAGCACAAAGCUACUCUGAAAAAGGGAGCAAGAAUAAGAGUGCCUCGUGCUCCUCUAGUAAUCACAGGAGCACACAUCCGAGGCAAGGUCCUCUAGUAAUCCCAGGAGCGCACAUCCAAGGCAAGGAGCAACAGCUAGAAACAGACAGACACGGAAAUUAAGUCCUGGUGGAGAAACAUAACGCGAUGGGCCAAACCUGAUGAAGAUCCACUGGGAUCGAAACGUUGUCUACAAUAAAGCUGUUCCCUAAGUUGCUGCUUCCUGCCUGUGCCUGCUCACCUGCUCCCUGGUUCCUGUGAUCAUGUCCCAUCCUGUCUCCAGCCCUCAGCCUCCUCUCCUCUUCCAAGCCCCUUCCCCACUUCUGCCUGCCCCCUUCGGGACUGACUUCCUGGUUUUGAUCUUCGCCUGCCCCUGUACUAUGUAUCUCCUCAUCCUGUGCUGUUCCUGAUUACUGACUCUUUCCUUGGACUGUAUGACUGUAUGAUUAUGAAUAAAGUUCC